rnacentral:lncRNA from 1 species
CUGUCCUUUUGGUCGUCGUACUGCCGAUUUCCAUGUUGUGGUUUUCUUACCCCAGAAGGGCUGAAUUACCACCCUGUCAUCGUCCAGCAAUUCGACCACUUGCCAAAUCUGAGGCCAGUCUUCUGGCGACAUAGACGUGUCUGAACAAUACACACCUCCGGGAUUGGUUCAUCAAGUUCCGGAAUGUUGAUUAUGUUCUCUGUUGUUGUGGUCAACUCCAAUGCCUCUUCAAGUUUUAACUUCUUCAGUUUGCCAAUCAAAUCAACUGAAUCCAAGUCUCUGUCCUCUGAAUGUUAUGGAAUAUACCAAGUUUGUCUUCCACUUGAUGCUGUUACAUGAAGUUGAAAGGA